rnacentral:rRNA from 1 species
AUGUACGGCCACGGUAUCGAGGGGCUUGGCUUCUUCCACCUCGAGGUCCCCGAUGUUCCACCACCCUCGCCGACCCUCCAGGCGGUCGUCACCGUGGUCGACGGGGUGGCAUCCCCGGAGAUGAUUGAGGCCGAGCUCAACCACCUCUACCGUCGCCAGUGGGACUGGGUGGUCACCCCCACCGCUGGCCACAUCUUCACCAUCGUCUUUCCCGACUCCGCCGCGGCCGUUCUUGACACCGCCUGGAUUCUUGUCGCUAGCCUCCCUGAUAUUGCGCGGUCCGAGCUCGUCAUCCGCCAGAUGUCCCGUCUCUUGGGCAAAGUGGUGGUGGUCGAUGAGCUCUCUCUGCGCAAAGAGGAGGAGGUCCGGGUCAAGGUCAAGUGUCUCGACUCCUCCAAGCUCCGCACCACCGUCCGAGUUUUCUUCAAUGACCAGGGCUUCGACCUCAGGAUCUUCGCCGAGCCCCCCCAACCACGUCGGCCGCCCCCGCUCCUUCGACGCCGGCCUCCCCGGUGGCAACCCGGGGGCCGAUGGAGACUACCACGGACUUCACCGUGCACGCUCACACCCGGACGAGGAUGGGAGUUCGGAGGACUCCCGCUCCCCUGCCCCCUCGCCCCUCCUCCGGCCACUGGGGGCAAGGGCCGCCAGGCCGCGCCCAGCCAGGCCUUCGGCGGCCCCUCGGUCUCUGCGGCGACUUCCACCGAGGAGAGCGACAUCUCCAGCAUUGGCCUGGUCGUCUGCCCGGCUUCUUCCCCGCGCUCUCCCUCCUCGGCUGCUCCCGACGUGCUGGGUCCGGAGUUGGUCCUCCCCUCGGCGGCUCCUCAGGAUCCCAGUCCGCUCCUGGUGGAUCAGGUGAUCUCCCCAGAGGUGGCUGUAGCCCCGGUGGCUGACGCCCCCCUUCCGACAUUGCCCCCCGCGGCCGCUCAGCCCACCCCUCCCGAGGCACCUCCGUCUCUGCUGCUUUCGUCCUCGGUUCCGACCCCGGCUCCGCUCCUCCUCAGCUGCUCCGAGUCCGCUCCUCUAGCUUCACCCACGGGGGGCCGAACCACGGAUGGGGAGGCUCGGGUGACCACCCCCAUGGUCGCCCAGCCCCCUCCAUGGUCCGCCGCCUACUCUUGCCGCGGCCGGUCGGCCUCCUCCCCGGUGAUUGCGUCCCGUCGGAGUGCUCGGCUAGAUGCUGCUCACCCCGAGGGUAGUCCGGCUCUGCCCAUCACCGAGCGGGCGGAGAUCUGUGCUGCUGCUCGGAACCUGGAGCCACCAAUCAUAUUUAGGGGGGAAGCUGGUCCUCCCUUAGUCCAGAUUGCGGCUAUCCGCGCCCGCGAGAUCCUUGAUGGGAGGCUCGUGGAGGCCCGUGCGGCUUUCCUCCUGCCUCCUGUUCCACCCUUGGCCGGUGUGACCCCUCCACCGGUGGCGUUGAGGCAGUUAGGUGCCCCCCGGUGGGGGAGGUCGAAAUCCAUGGUCGCACUCGCUCCCGCACCGCGGCCCUCCGUGCUCAAAGUGCCUCUCGUGUCCUGGGGUCAAGCAGCCCCCCUAUGGCGCCUUAAUGCGUGCCCUGUUCUGGAACAUCCGCGGUUCGGCCAUGAUGGCGGACGCCGCCAACUCAUAGAGUACUUGCAUGAGGAACACAUUGGCAUUGUUGCCAUCCAAGAAACCAUGCGUCUUGAAUUCUCGCUCCCUGAGCUUGACCGUCUGAGCUCCCACCUCUUUGCGUGGCAUUGGCUCCCCUCUAGUGGGAGCGCCGGCCACUCGGGUGGCAUCCUUUUAGGCAUGAAGGAUGCCACCUUUGAGGUGGGAAGCAUGGACCAGGGGGAAUUCUUUGUGAGCAUGGAGCUAUUCGAGAGGUCUCUCAACUUCAAGUGGGAGGGCAUCAUCGUCUACGGGCCUGCAGACCAUAGUCGGUCUGCCGCCUUUCUCGAGGAGCUCCACCGGAAGAUCUCUGCGGCCUCCCUUCCGGUGGUGGUGGGUGGCGAUUUUAACCUCCUUCACGUUGCGGAAGACAAAAGCAAUGCUAAUGUCUGCUUUGCUCGGAUGCAAAUGUUCAAUGACUUCAUUGCCGACCUUGGUCUCCGCGAAAUUGAUAGGAUUGGUGCCAGUGACUCCCAGCUCACCGUCGCGGACUUGCGCCCCUCCGUGGCCAAGCUCCAAACGCGCGUCGAGUCAUGGCAGGGGAGGUGGCUGUCCAAAGCGGCCCAGACUAUCCUCAUCAACUCUUCCCUCUCCAGCCUCCUCUUGUUUCUCAUGAGCUUCUACAGCCUCCACGAGACCCUUCACAAGGAGAUCGCCAAGGUCCAGUCCCGCUUUUACUGGGCGGGCGACAACGACAAGCAGAAGUAUCAUAUGGUCAGUUGGCCUAACAUUUGCAAGCCCCGGGUGCAAGGUGGCCUCGGCAUCAUGUGCUCUAAAUGGAUGAAUAUCGCCCUCCUCUCCCGCUGGCUUUGGCGCAUCUCGCAAGGGCAUGGUGGCCUUUGGCUUGACAUCAUCCGGAACAAAUACUUGCGCGGACAGCCCCUCGCCUUUUGCCAGAAGUCUGGCGGAUCUCAGUUCUGGCAGUCGAUUGUCCAGCUUCUCCCGGUCCUCCGUAUCGGGACCUCCAUCUCGGUGGGCUCUGGAGCAUCGACGUUGUUCUGGUUUGAUCGCUGGGCCGGGGACNNNNNNNNNNAUAUAUAUAUAUAUGAGCCGCAUUCACCAGUUUCAGCCACGGGCAGUGACACUGCGCGCGGACGUCCGGGUUCGGCCAAGAAGAAGAAGCGCAGGGGUGCCUGCGGCGCUCCGCCCGUGCCUCCCUCGGUGGCCCCGGGUUCCUCCUUCACACCCGGGCCCGUCUCCGGCCUCCCUCGCCCCCCCGGCUUCAACUGCGAGGUGGGGGGACACUCGCAGGUCAAGUAUGUCAAUCCCCAAUGCUGCUACCUAUGCAAGGAUCCGGGCCACCCCGCUCUCCUGUGCCCGGAUAGACCGGUGGUGUCGGAGCUCAUGAUGUACGGCCACGGUAUCGAGGGGCUUGGCUUCUUCCACCUCGAGGUCCCCGAUGUUCCACCACCCUCGCCGACCCUCCAGGCGGUCGUCACCGUGGUCGACGGGGUGGCAUCCCCGGAGAUGAUUGAGGCCGAGCUCAACCACCUCUACCGUCGCCAGUGGGACUGGGUGGUCACCCCCACCGCUGGCCACAUCUUCACCAUCGUCUUUCCCGACUCCGCCGCGGCCGUUCUUGACACCGCCUGGAUUCUUGUCGCUAGCCUCCCUGAUAUUGCGCGGUCCGAGCUCGUCAUCCGCCAGAUGUCCCGUCUCUUGGGCAAAGUGGUGGUGGUCGAUGAGCUCUCUCUGCGCAAAGAGGAGGAGGUCCGGGUCAAGGUCAAGUGUCUCGACUCCUCCAAGCUCCGCACCACCGUCCGAGUUUUCUUCAAUGACCAGGGCUUCGACCUCAGGAUCUUCGCCGAGCCCCCCCAACCACGUCGGCCGCCCCCGCUCCUUCGACGCCGGCCUCCCCGGUGGCAACCCGGGGGCCGAUGGAGACUACCACGGACUUCACCGUGCACGCUCACACCCGGACGAGGAUGGGAGUUCGGAGGACUCCCGCUCCCCUGCCCCCUCGCCCCUCCUCCGGCCACUGGGGGCAAGGGCCGCCAGGCCGCGCCCAGCCAGGCCUUCGGCGGCCCCUCGGUCUCUGCGGCGACUUCCACCGAGGAGAGCGACAUCUCCAGCAUUGGCCUGGUCGUCUGCCCGGCUUCUUCCCCGCGCUCUCCCUCCUCGGCUGCUCCCGACGUGCUGGGUCCGGAGUUGGUCCUCCCCUCGGCGGCUCCUCAGGAUCCCAGUCCGCUCCUGGUGGAUCAGGUGGCCUCUAACUCAGCAAUCAUAUUUAGGGGGGAAGCUGGUCCUCCCUUAGUCCAGAUUGCGGCUAUCCGCGCCCGCGAGAUCCUUGAUGGGAGGCUCGUGGAGGCCCGUGCGGCUUUCCUCCUGCCUCCUGUUCCACCCUUGGCCGGUGUGACCCCUCCACCGGUGGCGUUGAGGCAGUUAGGUGCCCCCCGGUGGGGGAGGUCGAAAUCCAUGGUCGCACUCGCUCCCGCACCGCGGCCCUCCGUGCUCAAAGUGCCUCUCGUGUCCUGGGGUCAAGCAGCCCCCCUAUGGCGCCUUAAUGCGUGCCCUGUUCUGGAACAUCCGCGGUUCGGCCAUGAUGGCGGACGCCGCCAACUCAUAGAGUACUUGCAUGAGGAACACAUUGGCAUUGUUGCCAUCCAAGAAACCAUGCGUCUUGAAUUCUCGCUCCCUGAGCUUGACCGUCUGAGCUCCCACCUCUUUGCGUGGCAUUGGCUCCCCUCUAGUGGGAGCGCCGGCCACUCGGGUGGCAUCCUUUUAGGCAUGAAGGAUGCCACCUUUGAGGUGGGAAGCAUGGACCAGGGGGAAUUCUUUGUGAGCAUGGAGCUAUUCGAGAGGUCUCUCAACUUCAAGUGGGAGGGCAUCAUCGUCUACGGGCCUGCAGACCAUAGUCGGUCUGCCGCCUUUCUCGAGGAGCUCCACCGGAAGAUCUCUGCGGCCUCCCUUCCGGUGGUGGUGGGUGGCGAUUUUAACCUCCUUCACGUUGCGGAAGACAAAAGCAAUGCUAAUGUCUGCUUUGCUCGGAUGCAAAUGUUCAAUGACUUCAUUGCCGACCUUGGUCUCCGCGAAAUUGAUAGGAUUGGUGCCAGUGACUCCCAGCUCACCGUCGCGGACUUGCGCCCCUCCGUGGCCAAGCUCCAAACGCGCGUCGAGUCAUGGCAGGGGAGGUGGCUGUCCAAAGCGGCCCAGACUAUCCUCAUCAACUCUUCCCUCUCCAGCCUCCUCUUGUUUCUCAUGAGCUUCUACAGCCUCCACGAGACCCUUCACAAGGAGAUCGCCAAGGUCCAGUCCCGCUUUUACUGGGCGGGCGACAACGACAAGCAGAAGUAUCAUAUGGUCAGUUGGCCUAACAUUUGCAAGCCCCGGGUGCAAGGUGGCCUCGGCAUCAUGUGCUCUAAAUGGAUGAAUAUCGCCCUCCUCUCCCGCUGGCUUUGGCGCAUCUCGCAAGGGCAUGGUGGCCUUUGGCUUGACAUCAUCCGGAACAAAUACUUGCGCGGACAGCCCCUCGCCUUUUGCCAGAAGUCUGGCGGAUCUCAGUUCUGGCAGUCGAUUGUCCAGCUUCUCCCGGUCCUCCGUAUCGGGACCUCCAUCUCGGUGGGCUCUGGAGCAUCGACGUUGUUCUGGUUUGAUCGCUGGGCCGGGGACACUCCCUUCGCGGCUCGCUUUCCUGGCCUCUUCUCCAUCUCCGUCGACCCCGUGAUUUCUGUUGAGAGGGCCCUUCUUGACUUAGGGCGCCUUGGUUUCCGACGGGCCUUUGGCCCCAUGGAAUCCGCCGCCUAG